rnacentral:rRNA from 1 species
AUUGAACGCUGGCGGCAUGCCUUACACAUGCAAGUCGAACGGUAACAGGUCUUCGGAUGCCGACGAGUGGCGAACGGGUGAGUAAUACACCGGAACGUGCCUAGUAGUGGGGGAUAACUACUCGAAAGAGUGGCUAAUACCGCAUGAGAUCUACGGAUGAAAGCAGGGGAUCGCAAGACCUUGUGCUAAUAGAGCGGCCGGUGGCAGAUUAGGUAGUUGGUGGGAUAAAAGCUUACCAAGCCGACGAUCUGUAGCUGGUCUGAGAGGACGAUCAGCCACACUGGGACUGAGACACGGCCCAGACUCCUACGGGAGGCAGCAGUGGGGAAUUUUGGACAAUGGGCGAAAGCCUGAUCCAGCAAUGCCGCGCGCAGGAUGAAGGCCUUCGGGUUGUAAACUGCUUUUGUACGGAACGAAAAGCCCCGGGUUAAUACCCUGGGGUCAUGACGGUACCGUAAGAAUAAGCACCGGCUAACUACGUGCCAGCAGCCGCCGUAA